CAGUCGCCGCGGGAAUACGAAGGGUGCAAGCGUUAAUCGGAAUUACUGGGCGUAAAGCGCGCGUAGGCGGUUUGUUGAGUCUGCUGUGAAAUCCCCGGGCUCAACCUGGGAAUGGCAGUGGAUACUGGCAAGCUAGAGUGUGUCAGAGGAUGGUGGAAUUCCCGGUGUAGCGGUGAAAUGCGUAGAGAUCGGGAGGAACAUCAGUGGCGAAGGCGGCCAUCUGGGACAUUACUGACGCUGAGGCGCGAAAGCGUGGGGAGCAAACAGGAUUAGAUACCCCGGUAGUCCCUGUCUCUUAUAC
rnacentral:rRNA from 1 species